rnacentral:rRNA from 1 species
GACGAACGCUGGCGGCGUGCUUAACACAUGCAAGUCGAACGGAAAGGCCUGCUUUCCCCUGUGGAUUGCGGGUACUCGAGUGGCGAACGGGUGAGUAACACGUGAGUGAUCUGCCCCCAACUUGGGUAUAAGCCUGGGAAACUGGGUCUAAUUCCCGAUAGGACUGCAGGGUGGUGCCUGUGGUGGAAAACGAUUUUCUAGUGGUUGGGGAUGAGCUCGCGGCCUAUCAGCUUGUUGGUGGGGUAAUGGCCUACCAAGGCGGCGACGGGUAGCCGGCCUGAGAGGGUGGACGGCCACAUUGGGACUGAGAUACGGCCCCGACUCCUACGGGAGGCAGCAGUGGGGAAUAUUGCACAAUGGGCGGAAGCCUGAUGCAGCGACGCCGCGUGGGGGAUGACGGCCUUCGGGUUGUAAACUCCUUUCGACCGCGAGGAAGCCACCUGGUUGGAAGGGUGGUGACGGUAGUGGUAGAAGAAGCACCGGCUAACUACGUG